GCACAAGCGGUGGAGCACGUGGUUUAAUUCGAAGCAACGCGCAGAACCUUACCAACCCUUGACAUCCUUGGACCGCCGGAGAGAUUCGGUUUUUCUCGUAAGAGACCAAGUGACAGGUGCUGCAUGGCUGUCGUCAGCUCGUGUCGUGAGAUGUUCGGUUAAGUCCGGCAACGAGCGCAACCCACAUCCCUAGUUGCCAGCAGGUCAAGCUGGGCACUCUAUGGAAACUGCCCGUGAUAAGCGGGAGGAAGGUGUGGAUGACGUCAAGUCCUCAUGGCCCUUACGGGUUGGGCUACACACGUGCUACAAUGGCAGUGACAAUGGGUUAAUCCCAAAAAGCUGUCUCAGUUCGGAUUGGGGUCUGCAACUCGACCCCAUGAAGUCGGAAUCGCUAGUAAUCGCGUAACAGCAUGACGCGGUGAAUACGUUCCCGGGCCUU
rnacentral:rRNA from 1 species